CUGUCUUCAGCAGCCCACAAGUGGAUUAGAAAUUGGGUGUUUGUGUUUGUAAGUCUGGCAGGGCCAGUGGGAUAAGGAGGGGGUCGAGUCUGUUGCCUUAUCUCCAAAAAGCAGAGAGCACCAGGCUGCAUGGGAUCAAUAAGGCGACCACAGGCACCAAGUUCUAACCUUAAAAUGCACAACGCCCCCAGACCGAGCAACCCCAGUGAGCAUUUGGUCAGGGUGAGUUUUCCAAAGGGCAUGGAAAGGCCACAGCAUUCAUGGCUGAAUAAUUGCAAACAGGAGUUGCUGCAUACGAUGAGCUUCCCGAUCGUCUCAUUUUCAGGCUUUCCUCUGGGGGUUGGAGGUUAUCCAUGGUGGUGGUAUUUGGAGCUGUGGUGUGAACAGUAAUGGAAAGAUGGCGCUAAAUUUCGGUCCUUGGGGAAAAUCACACUGAGGUUUCUGCAUUGUGUUAACUGGAUUAGUGUGAAAAGGGUUCCAACAUAUGAAGAAAAACAACAACAACAACAACAACAGUGUCCAACAUCGACGUAAACAAGAUUUGCAUUUUCAGAAGAAAAAAAAAAAGAAGAAACAAGUUCAAGUUUAUGGAUUCAGUUCUGAGUAAAUUUGGCUCUGGCUCACUUGCAGUUCAUGACAGUGAAUGUGAAUUGACCACAAAAUACAAGAAGGUGUAUUGGAAUCUGAACUGAAAUGACAAGGAAGGGAUGGAUGGAAAGAUAGAAUGAUGGAACGAUGGAUGGAUGGAUAACUAUAUAGAAUGAUGGAUGGAUAGAAAGAUGGAAAGACUGAAAGAUGGAACGAUGGAUAGAUGGAUGCUAGAUAGAAUGAUGGAUAGAUGGAUAGAAAGAUGGAAUGAUUGAAAGAUGGAACGAUGGAUGCAUGGAUGCUAGAUAGAAUGACGGAUGGAUGGAUAGAGCAACAGAUACAACAAUGGAUGGAUGGAUGGAUGGACAGAACAAUGGGCAUUGGAUGGAUUGAAAGGUAGAACCAUGGAUGGAAAGAUAGAACGAUGGAUGGA